rnacentral:rRNA from 1 species
GAUGAACGCUGGCGGCGUGCUUAUCUCAUGCAAGUCGAACGAAGCACCUUAUUCUGAUUUCUUCGGAAUGAAAAAUUUGGUGACUGAGGGGCGGACGGGUGAGUAACGCGGGGGUAACCUGCCUCAUACAGGGGGGAUAACAGUUAGAAAUGACUGCUAAUACCGCAUAAAACCACAGCACCGCAGGGGGCAGGGGUAAAAACUCCGGGGGUAUGAGAUGGACCCGCGUCUGAUUAGGUAGUUGGGGGGGUAACGGCCUACCAAGCCGACAAUCAGUAGCCGACCUGAGAGGGUGACCGGCCACUUUGGGACUGAGACACGGCCCAAACUCCUACGGGAGGCAGCAGGGGGGAAUAUUGCACAAGGGGGGAAACCCUGAUGCAGCGACCCCGCGUGAGCGAUGAAGUAUUUCGGUAUGUAAAGCUCUAUCAGCAGGGAAGAAAAUGACGGUACCUGACUAAAAAGCACCGGCUAAAUACGUG